rnacentral:rRNA from 1 species
UACGUAGGGGGCGAGCGUUGUCCGGAAUUACUGGGCGUAAAGAGCUCGUAGGUGGUUUGUCGCGUUGUUCGUGAAAACUCACAGCUCAACUGUGGGCGUGCGGGCGAUACGGGCAGACUGGAGUACUGCAGGGGAGACUGGAAUUCCUGGUGUAGCGGUGAAAUGCGCAGAUAUCAGGAGGAACACCGGUGGCGAAGGCGGGUCUCUGGGCCGAUACUGACGCUGAGGAGCGAAAGCAUGGGUAGCGAACAGG